AGCUCCCCUCAGCAGCUCUCUCGAUGGUAGAAACUUUCUCACAGUCUGUUAUCUCCUUGCAGCCACAGGGUGAGGAUAAAAUGGCGACGAGGAGAAUGAUUUGAGACGCUUUGGAUUCCCAUUGGGUGAGGAGAAAAGUGAGGUAUAAAUAAACCCACAGCACAGCCACAUGGAGGCAGUCCGGCACUACUCUUGCCGUAUCAGUCACACUGCGUUGUGAACUCCAGGUUCCCCAGUGCAGAGCAACAAUGGUCGACCAACAUCCAAGCAAGACGGCUCGCUCUACAAUCUCCCCUCAAACACACAAACCCCAACUAAUGCUUAUUUUAGUAACUGCUGUGAGGCGACAGCAAAAGGGGACAACAGACCUUGUGCAAAUCCGAGAACCUGUCCCAGACGGCUUCUAUGGAGAAGCGUGUGAGCAGCAACAUGUCCUGGCUACAGCAGGACUAGCAAACACUGUGGGAUCAGUUCGAGGAACAGCCGCCUGACCCCCUCAUCCCCUCUGCUUGCCCUUUCCCCACUCAUCGAUGCCAAGAAUAAAGCCAGUCUAUACAACUAGUUUUAUUCUUGACAUUGAAGAUUGUACUUAGCAAGAUUUUGCCUUUUCUUUUGUUGCUGAUACUGCAAUACUCUUUUUGGUUGUCUUUCCGUUAAGGGAUUUUAUGACCAUUGACCCAAACAGUAAAGAGUCCAGUGGCACCUUUAAGACUAACCAACUUUAUUGUAGCACAAGCUUUCGAGAACCACAGCUCUCGUCAGAUGUACAAUAAAGUUGGUUGUUGUGGGUUUUCCGGGCUGUAUCUCUCAGUGUCACAGUAUGGAAAAGUGACACUGAGAGAUCUCUGUCUUUUGGUGCUACACCUUUGAAGAUGCCAGCCACAGCUGCUGGUGAAACGUCAGGAACUACAAUGCCAAGACCACGGCAGUACAGCCCGGAAAACCCACAACAACCAUCAUUCUCCGGUCGUGAAAGCCUUCGACAAUACAAUAAAGUUGUUAGUCUUAAAGGUGCUACUGGACUCUUUACUAUUUUGCGACUACAGACUAACAUGGCCAACUCCUCGGGAUCUUUACCCAAAUAUGAGCUCUAUUGAAGCAGACCUCUAACACAGAGGGCAGAAUCUUUCAUAAUGGGAACGUUCUUUUCCUUAGACUGCAGGUCACAUUGACUCUUUAGUAAUAAGGGAAUGUCAAUAAUUCUUUUGUUUUCCUUUUCUUGCAGUCAAGAAUUAGCCUUGGAAAAGAGUCUCCCAGGAAGAUUCUAUACUCAUUGCAACAAGUAUGGCCCCAGACACUUGACAUGUUUAUUGUCCCGUCAUUCAAACCCAUCAGGUGCCAUAAAUCUCAGAGGCUGUAAAUCCCAAAGAAUGUAUUUGUAUAAACUUUGUGCUAACCUUUGAUCUUUUAUUCUGUAAACUAUUCCGCUUUAAGGGUAUAGAAUAGUCUCCGAUGUGAUUAUUCGGCAUGCAUGUGCCCUAAUGAGGGCGUCUUCCUCUGGGUUUUAUUAUUAAAUAAACGAAUAAAGCUCAUAGUUCUUUAAGGA